UGGUAAUAAUAAAUAAAAAUUUAUGAUAAUUAUCCAGACUCUUAUGAUAAAAAGAAUCUAUCAAUACGAAACACAUAAUCAUCGUGCAUAAUCAACACGAAGAACGAUGGAAAUUAUUAGCAUGCUAACUUGACGUUAUAUAAUAAAAAUUACGACGUCACGAAUUUUGAUGUUUUUUUUGUCAAAAUGUUGGGUUUGUGUCGCUUCUACAAGGAAAACGAAGUCGGUGACCAUAUUUUUUUUUAAUAUCAUCUAAUUCGUAAGACAAAGAGGA
rnacentral:lncRNA from 1 species